CGAAGCGUGCGAUUGGAUUGCACGUCUAAGCAGUAAGGCUGAGUAUUAGGCAAAUCCGGUACUCAUUAAGGCUGAGCUGUGAUGGGGAGAAGACAUUGUGUCUUCGAGUCGUUGAUUUCACACUGCCGAGAAAAGCCUCUAGAUAGAAAAUAGGUGCCCGUACCGCAAACCGACACAGGUAGUCAAGAUGAGAAUUCUAAGGUGAGCGAGCGAACUCUCGUUAAGGAACUCGGCAAAAUGACCCCGUAACUUCGGGAGAAGGGGUGCUCUUUAGGGUUAACGCCCAGAAGAGCCGCAGUGAAUAGGCCCAAGCGACUGUUUAUCAAAAACACAGGUCUCUGCUAAACCGUAAGGUGAUGUAUAGGGGCUGACGCCUGCCCGGUGCUGGAAGGUUAAGAGGAGUGGUUAGCUUCUGCGAAGCUACGAAUCGAAGCCCCAGUAAACGGCGGCCGUAACUAUAACGGUCCUAAGGUAGCGAAAUUCCUUGUCGGGUAAGUUCCGACCCGCACGAAAGGCGUAACGAUUUGGGCACUGUCUCAACGAGAGACUCGGUGAAAUCAUAGUACCUGUGAAGAUGCAGGUUACCCGCGACAGGACGGAAAGACCCCGUGGAGCUUUACUGUAGCCUGAUAUUGAAAUUCGGCACAGCUUGUACAGGAUAGGUAGGAGCCUUUGAAACGUGAGCGCUAGCUUACGUGGAGGCGCUGGUGGGAUACUACCCUAGCUGUGUUGGCUUUCUAACCCGCACCACUUAUCGUGGUGGGAGACAGUGUCAGGCGGGCAGUUUGACUGGGGCGGUCG
rnacentral:rRNA from 1 species